GAGUCGCGGUGUGCGGAGUGCACUCCCCCGUUCAGGGGGCAGAGCGGGUUCGAAUCCCGCCGACUCACCA
rnacentral:tRNA from 1 species